AUUCUAUUCACAGCCGCAUGAUACCGGAUCAACGACCCAGCACCAUCUCCUUCCUCUCGUCGCUCAGACCGACGGCCAAGCGCGGCGGCAGUACACACCGGUGAGUCCCAGCCCGGUGCACCGGUGAACUACCCAUGUGCCUACUAGCAAAACACGACACAGAGAACAGAGGGAAUCACCCAGCUGGGAGUUCUUACCUGGACUCGGCAGGUGGCAGGACUGCCCACGCGCUACGGUGCUGGCUCACUACAACAGGUUCGACCGGGGCCCAGGACCUUCUCCGCGCUCGAGAGCGACGCAGAUGUUCGCACGAUGCC
rnacentral:lncRNA from 7 species